rnacentral:rRNA from 1 species
UACGGAGGAUCCGAGCGUUAUCCGGAUUUAUUGGGUUUAAAGGGUGUGUAGGCGGCCUAUUAAGUCAGGGGUGAAAUACGGUGGCUCAACCAUCGCAGUGCCUUUGAUACUGAUGGGCUUGAAUCCAUUUGAAGUGGGCGGAAUAAGACAAGUAGCGGUGAAAUGCAUAGAUAUGUCUUAGAACUCCGAUUGCGAAGGCAGCUCACUAAGCUGGUAUUGACGCUGAUGCACGAAAGCGUGGGGAUCGAACAGG